rnacentral:rRNA from 1 species
GACGUAGGGCGCGAGCGUUGUCCGGAUUUAUUGGGCGUAAAGAGCUCGUAGGCGGCUUGGUAAGUCGGGUGUGAAAUCUCCACGCUCAACGUGGAGGGGCCACUCGAUACUGCCAUGACUCGAGUCCGGUAGAGGAGUGUGGAAUUCCCGGUGUAGCGGUGAAAUGCGCAGAUAUCAGGAAGAACACCCGUGGCUAAGGCGGCUCUCUAGUACGGUACUGACGCUGAGACGCGAAAGCGUGGGGAGCGAACAGG